AUACGGAGGGUGCAAGCGUUAUCCGGAAUCAUUGGGUUUAAAGGGUCCGUAGGCGGAUAAUUAAGUCAGGGGUGAAAUCCCACAGCUCAACUGUGGCACUGCCUUUGAUACUGGUUAUCUUGAGUUAUAGGGAAGUAGAUAGAAUAUGUAGUGUAGCGGUGAAAUGCAUAGAUAUUACAUAGAAUACCGAUUGCGAAGGCAGUCUACUAUCUGUAUACUGACGCUAAGGGACGAAAGCGUGGGGAGCGAACAGGAGUAGAUACCCGAGUAGUCC
rnacentral:rRNA from 1 species